GAUGAACGCUGGCGGCGUGCCUAAUACAUGCAAGUCGAGCGAACAGACGAGGAGCUUGCUCCUCUGACGUUAGCGGCGGACGGGUGAGUAACACGUGGAUAACCUACCUAUAAGACUGGGAUAACUUCGGGAAACCGGAGCUAAUACCGGAUAAUAUAUUGAACCGCAUGGUUCAAUAGUGAAAGACGGUUUUGCUGUCACUUAUAGAUGGAUCCGCGCCGCAUUAGCUAGUUGGUAAGGUAACGGCUUACCAAGGCAACGAUGCGUAGCCGACCUGAGAGGGUGAUCGGACACACUGGAACUGAGACACGGUCCAGACUCCUACGGGAGGCAGCAGUAGGGAAUCUUCCGCAAUGGGCGAAAGCCUGACGGAGCAACGCCGCGUGAGUGACGAAGGUCUUCGGAUCGUAAAACUCUGUUAUUAGGGAAGAACAAAUGUGUAAGUAACUAUGCACGUCUUGACGGUACCUAAUCAGAAAGCCACGGCUAACUACGUG
rnacentral:rRNA from 1 species